GGAGGAUGCGAGCGUUAUCCGGAUUUAUUGGGUUUAAAGGGUGCGUAGGCGGAUAGAUAAGUCAGUGGUGAAAUUCUGCAGCUUAACUGUAGACUUGCCGUUGAUACUGUCAGUCUUGAGUAUGGUCAAGGCAGGCGGAAUGUGUAAUGUAGCGGUGAAAUGCUUAGAUAUUACACAGAACACCGAUUGCGAAGGCAGCUUGCUGGGCCAUUACUGACGCUGAUGCACGAAAGCGUGGGGAUCGAACAGGAUUAGAUACCCUGGUAGUCCACGCCGUAAACGAUGAUCACUCGCUGUUGGCGAUACACAGUCAGCGGCUAAGCAAAAGCAUUAAGUGAUCCACCUGGGGAGUACGGCCGCAAGGCUGAAACUCAAAGGAAUUGACGGGGGCCCGCACAAGCGGAGGAACAUGUGGUUUAAUUCGAUGAUACGCGAGGAACCUUACCUGGGCUUAAAUGUAGAGUGCAUUGGUGAGAAAUCAUCAUUUUCUUCGGAACUCUCUGCAAGGUGCUGCAUGGUUGUCGUCAGCUCGUGCCGUGAGGUGUCGGGUUAAGUCCCAUAACGAGCGCAACCCUUAUCGUUAGUUGCCAGCGGGUAAUGCCGGGAACUCUAGCGAAACUGCCGGUGUAAACCGAGAGGAAGGUGGGGAUGACGUCAAAUCAGCACGGCCCUUAUGUCCAGGGCUACACACGUGUUACAAUGGCCGGUACAGAGGGCAGCUACCUGGAGACAGGAUGCGAAUCUCGAAAGCCGGUCUCAGUUCGGAUCGGAGUCUGCAACUCGACUCCGUGAAGCUGGAUUCGCUAGUAAUCGCGCAUCAGCCAUGGCGCGGUAAAUACGUUCCCGGGCCUU
rnacentral:rRNA from 1 species